GGUGGGGUGGCAGAGCGGACUAUUGCGCCUGCCUUGAGAGCAGGUGGCCGAGAGGCCUCCUGGGUUCAAAUCCCAGCCCCACCG
rnacentral:tRNA from 1 species